GAGCAAAGCGUACUUUAGUUCAGACCCCCGAAACUAAGUGAGCUACCCCGGGACAGCCUAUUAAUUAGGGCCAACCCGUCUCUGUGGCAAAAGAGUGGGAAGAUCCCCGGGUAGAGGUGACAGACCUACCGAACUUAGUUAUAGCUGGUUGCCUAAGAAAUGGAUAGAAGUUCAGCCUCACACUCCUUAACUCACAACUACCAACUAAAUAUGAGCCAAAGAAACAUGUGAGAGUUAGUCAAAGGGGGUACAGCCCCUUUGAAACAGGACACAACCUCAACCAGGAGGUUAAAGAUUAUAUUAAACAAGAUACCCGCUCCAGUGGGCCUAAAAGCAGCCACCUGAAUAGAAAGCGUUAAAGCUCCUGCGGACUAAAAUCUACUAUCCAAAUAUUUAAUCUAAAACCCCUAACAAUAUUAGGCCCCUCCAUGCCACCAUGGAAGAGAUACUGCUAAAAUGAGUAAUAAGAGGGGAAACCCCCUCUCCUCGGCCUACGUGUAUGCUA
rnacentral:rRNA from 1 species